CCUACGGGAGGCAGCAGUGGGGAAUCUUGCACAAUGGAGGAAACUCUGAUGCAGCGAUGCCGCGUGAGUGAAGAAGGCCUUUGGGUUGUAAAGCUCUUUUGUAGGGGAAGAUAAUGACUGUACCCUAAGAAUAAGGUCCGGCUAACUUCGUGCCAGCAGCCGCGGUAAUACGAAGGGACCUAGCGUAGUUCGGAAUUACUGGGCGUAAAGCGCGCGUAGGCCGUUGAGUUAGUUAAUUGUGAAAUUCCAAAGCUUAACUUUGGAACUGCAAUUAAAACUGCUCGACUAGAGUUUGAUAGAGGAAAGCGGAAUACAUAGUGUAGAGGUGAAAUUCGUAGAUAUUAUGUAGAACACCAGUUGCGAAGGCGGCUUUCUGGAUCAACACUGACGCUGAGGCGCGAAAGUAUGGGUAGCAAAGAGGAUUAGAUACCCUCGUAGUCCAUACCAUAAACGAUGAUUGCUAGAUGUUGGAAAUUUAUUUUCAGUAUCGCAGCUAACGCAUUAAGCAAUCCGCCUGGGGAGUACGACCGCAAGGUUAAACUCAAAUGAAUUGACGG
rnacentral:rRNA from 1 species